GCGGAAUGGCAAUUGAUUCGGAACCGGAAUCAGUUAGACAGCUCUUAGUCGAUAGAUUCAUGUCCACCGGCAAUUCAGAAAGUCUGCAUCUUUGGGCGUAUAAUACCCGACCAGUAGGAGCACACUGGUUGUUGCUUGCUAUCAACCCUAUAAGAGAAGUCGUGUAUUAUCUGAAUUCGGUAAAUGGUGACUGGACCAAUUAUCCGGCUAUGAAGGAAAUCGUUGAUUUAUCAAUACAAGUGUUCCGAAGUCAACGGGACGCACAGGUAUCCCGGACUAAAUCAAACAACAUUACUUGGAUCAAAGUGC